UGUAGUCAUAUGCUUGUCUCAAAGAUUAAGCCAUGCAUGUCUAAGUAUAAGCAAUUAUACCGUGAAACUGCGAAUGGCUCAUUAAAUCAGUUAUCGUUUAUUUGAUAAUACCUUACUACUUGGAUAACCGUGGUAAUUCUAGAGCUAAUACAUGCUGAAAAUCCCGACUUCGGAAGGGAUGUGUUUAUUAGAUAAAAAACCAAUGCCCUUCGGGGCUUUUUGGUGAUUCAUGAUAACUUUACGGAUCGCAUAGCCUUGCGCUGGCGACGGUUCAUUCAAAUUUCUGCCCUAUCAACUUUCGAUGGUAAGGUAUUGGCUUACCAUGGUUUCAACGGGUAACGGGGAA
rnacentral:rRNA from 1 species